GCAUGAGCCACCAUGCCUGACCAACUUCUAUAUGUUUUUUAAAGAGUUAGUUUUGUUGCUCCUUUCUUUAGGGAGCUUUACCUGAUUACCCCAGGCCAACCCAGUUACUUCUAUGACUUUCUUAGAAAUCUAAGUUUACUACCAACAUUUUAAUAUCCCACAAUAUAUCUCUUCCACUAACCUGUAACCUCCUAAAAGAAAAAGACUGAAUCUAUGUUUGUUCCAGAACCUGUACAUUUUGCAGCAUGGGGAAGUAGUUCAAAAUGUUUGGUCAAAUGCACUGUUGUAAACUUGGGGGUUUUCAACUGGACUUGAAAAACGUAUCUAGACUGCCUGGCUUAAAACUUCCAUUUUAUACAUGAAGAAACUGAGUCCCAGAUGAUUUUAUGACUUUGCCCAGUAUCUAUUACUAACCCUGGAAACUAUAAUUCACCCCACUGUGUCUUGUCCUAAGUUUCCCUCCCUGGGAUACUCAAAUUCAAGAGCAUCUGACUCACAAAUUCAUAGGAGAAUAUAGCUAUUGAACAAGAGAUAAAAAUUAACAUAAUGAAAAUGCGUACUGGAAUGUUUCCACCCCAGCUCAGAUUCCAAAAAUGAACAUAGGCUAAGGCCUAGUGAAUAAGCCUUUCCCUGACUUAUCAAGUAAGCAUCCUUCUGUCUAUACCCCACAAUAGCCAUCACAGGUCUUAACUGAGGCUAUGUCUUGAUGUUUCUCUUUAAAGUCUCAUCCAGUGCUCAUCUUCUCUUGUUAUGGGGGCUUGAAUCCUUGUGAUAUGUAGCCAAUUAGCACUUAAAUGUUUUGAUCUGGAUAAAAAUUCUGCUGAUAUUAACUACUAGGUAACCUUGAGGUUACUUCAAGUUGAAAGAUUCUAACUCUGACUAUCCAACUACACCCCAAUCCUAAAUGGAAAGUUGUAAAAUGUUUUAGUAGAAGAGAAUGAAAGAUGUUAUUGAGUACAGAAUUAAUCAUUAAAAAGGGACUGCUCAAAAGGAAAUUAAAGGGCGAAAAUGAUGAGUAAGGCAAGUUAAAAAAAAACCCAAUCCUUAAAGGUGUAUGUUGUUUAAGCUUGAUAUUCAGAAAAGUUAGAGAUAAUUUAUUUUUCCAAACUGAGACAUUUUUGAGAAUGGAAAAGAGGACUACUAAUAAAAGCACAAGCACAAACCAGGACUGCCUUUGCAAAAUCAGGACAUAUGGUUACCCAAAAAAAGCUCACCUCUGUCCAGUGUAGUUUCGUUGCUUCAAGAAUGUUCUCCUAGAUAAGCCAUAUGCCCAACAGUUGAGCUGAGAGUGUCAGACAUGCUUCUGAUCUGGUUUUCUAUCUCUUCCCAUUCCAUUCUGGUCCUGAUGCUUCAUUUCACCAAAUUCCACUCUCACAGCUUCCCAUUUGCCUAGCCUUUCCCAUUGGAAAGACAUAUUUGACUUUCUUAAAUCUCUACUUUUUGGCUGCAUGUGACUUAACUCUUCCAUUUGUUAUAUGAUUUGUGACUCCAGUGAUUUUCACACUAUUUUUGGUGGCAUUCUAGGUUUCAAAGGUUCAACAAAUGUUUGAUUUUCCUUUAAGUUUUUAAAGAUAUAUUGUUUACCCAUAAUUAUUUUGGCUGACACAGGGGAUGAGAAAAACUGUGUGGGAAGAUAGCUUGCUCCCAUCUUCCAUCAGAGCAGCUCUCCCUUCUUCCUCUGGCAGUGAUUCAUAUCAGGCCAUUGUGGGCACCCAUUUCCAAUGCUGCCAGCCUGUGCCCAAGCCCCUGGGUGUCAGGAGGCAAGGAACCCAGCCUUGGGCCUAUGCUGCAACUGCACUGUGAUGAGUGUCCAUCAUGCCCAGAGCCUUACUCAAUGCUUUAGGGAGGAUAACCCUGCUUUUACCUGUUUUAAGUAUUUUGUUCGAAAAGACUAACCAUUAAAUUUGCUUAAAAACCAUGACUCUAGCUUUUCCCAUAGUAACUGACUUUCCUUUGUUUUAGCUCCCAGGUUACUGUGUCUAUACCUGUGGUGGGCAGCUUCUGAAAUAGCUUCCAAUGAUCCCUGCUUCUGAUAUUUACAAUCUUGUGUAUUCCCUCUUUGUGAGUGUGGGAUGGACCUAGUUGUUUGAUUUUAACAGAUAGAAUACUAGAGCAAAGGUGAUAGGGUGUUACUUCCAAGAUUAAGGUGCAAAAGCUUGAGUUACUUGAGUCUUGCUAGCACUCUCUUUUCUUCUCCCUUGCUCUGAUGAAGCCAGUUCCUAUAUUGUGAGCUACCCUACAAAGGAAACCUCAUGGAAAGGAAGAAAGAGAAGCCUCAGACCAACAACUCAUGAGGAAUUGAGACCCUCAGUCCAACAGCCCUUGAAGAACUGAAUCCUGCCAACAAGCUGAGUGAGCUCAGAAGUGAACCUAUCCCCAGAUCCAGGCCUGGUUAUGUAUCCUGUGAUUUACAUGCAGAACUCCAGUAGUUCCAUCAAACCCUUGUUCAAGUAUUCAAAUGAAUUCAAAACUACUGCUUGGGAAGAUGACAACAACAACAACAAGAAGAACAGCAACAACACUUUCUCAUUUUGCAGUGUACCGCCUGUAUACGAGUCAGACAGCAACUUACCAUUUUUAAUUUCCUCAGUAAAAUACUAGUGAUGGUGUCUUCAUUUAAGAACUUAAGCAUCUCCUUGCAAUCAGCAGCACAGGGCACUUGCAUGGAAGGACUCCAGUCUGAAUUUGACUGUUAUACAUCGUUCAUUAAAAGUCCUGCUGAGAAAAUUGGUAUGUCAGUAUCAGAGAAGUUGAACCCUUUAUUUUUAUCAGAUUUUUAAGGCUUUAUCAUGACAUUGAAGCACACCAUGAGCUAGCCACAUACUGGAAUUUAUUACUCUGAUUCUCUAUAUAAGUGCCUUGAGAAAACUGCAAUUUAAAUUUACUCCUUAAACUUUGAAAUAAAGAAUGCCCAUAAAUAGA